UACAGAGGGUGCGAGCGUUGUUCGGAAUUAUUGGGCGUAAAGGGCGCGUAGGCGGUGCGGUAAGUCACCUGUGAAAUCUCCUGGCUCAACUGGGAGCUUGCAGGCGAAACUGCCGUGCUGGAGUGUUGGAGAGGUGCGUGGAAUUCCUGGUGUAGCGGUGAAAUGCGUAGAUAUCAGGAGGAACACCUGUGGCGAAAGCGGCGCACUGGACCACAACUGACGCUGAGGCGCGAAAUCUAGGGGAGCAAACAGG
rnacentral:rRNA from 1 species